UUUUUAGAACUUGGUUAUGAA
rnacentral:piRNA from 1 species